CCGAGACCAGAGAUAGCGGUACCCUGAGUCGGCCUUACUUAGGGAUGUAAGAAAAUGAAAGGAAUAAGAUUGUAAUAAUUUGUAAUAAAAGUAUGAUUAUAUUCGGAAGUUAAAUGUAAAAUGUAAUUGUGAUGUAAAAUAUAUCUUGUGAAUGUGAAUGCUUGUAAUAGCAAGUAGAUUAUGUUUUUGAUACUUUCUUAUGCAAU
rnacentral:lncRNA from 1 species